UACGAGUGCUCCAAGCGUUAUCCGGAAUCAUUGGGCGUAAAGGGUGUGUAGGUGGUUGUGUUAGUCUUCUGUCAAAUUCUUCGGCUUAACCGGGGGCUCGCAGAGGAAACGGCACAACUAGAGGAUGCGAGAGGUGAACGGAACUCAUGGAGUAGGGGUGAAAUCCGUUGAUAUCAUGGGGAACACCAAAAGCGAAGGCAGUUCACUGGCGCACUCCUGACACUGAGACACGAAAGCGUAGGUAGCGAAUGGG
rnacentral:rRNA from 1 species